AUUGGUUAUUGUUACCUGGCUAUUAGCGCCAUGUAGCUAGCUAAUAUUGAUUAGCUGGCUAGCAAACGAUAAGACCCAAAUAACACCGGCAAAGAAAGGAGCGUGACUGGUUGUUGGCGUUUUCCUUGCAUAACAGUUUACCAGCUUUUGAUAAUUUAAGCAAUGUUGAAUAUAUUUUUUUUAUAUGGUGGCACCUCAAUUAAGAUGCUGUCAUAUUUUGGGAUCACAGAAUGAAUGAUUAAUGGCGGGUAGAAUAUAGUUAGCACGAUCUAGCUAACCGGCUACCCAAAUGUAACGUUAUCCAGACAGUUAGCUAGUUAUCGAUAGAAUUUCUCACCUUGACUCUGACACGAACUACACCCCUCUCCUCCUCAGCUGCCAUGCUGUUUUUGUCUCCGCCUGCCGCCCAACUCGCCAUUGCUUCACAGGAUGUUACGUCACUGGCAUUACAUCAUCCGUCGUUGCUCAGCCGAAGAUGCUACAGCAAAGCACCUCUCAGACCUCCCCCCUUUUCAGCUUCGCCCCGAGUUAAGCUUUUGCCUAAGAUAACCCAAGAGUGUAAAA